rnacentral:rRNA from 1 species
AUUGAACGCUGGCGGCAUGCCUUACACAUGCAAGUCGAACGGCAGCACGGGAGCAAUCCUGGUGGCGAGUGGCGAACGGGUGAGUAAAGUAUCGGAACGUGCCCAGUCGUGGGGGAUAACGUAGCGAAAGUUACGCUAAUACCGCAUACGAUCUAUGGAUGAAAGCGGGGGAUCGCAAGACCUCGCGCGAUUGGAGCGGCCGAUAUCAGAUUAGGUAGUUGGUGGGGUAAAGGCUCACCAAGCCGACGAUCUGUAGCUGGUCUGAGAGGACGACCAGCCACACUGGGACGGAGACACGGCCCAGUCUCCGACGGGAGGCAGCAGUGGGGAAUUGUGGACAAUGGGCGAAAGCCUGAUCCAGCCAUGCCGCGUGCAGGAUGAAGGCCUUCGGGUUGUAAACUGCUUUUGUACGGAACGAAAAGGUUUGGCCUAAUAAGCUGAGCUCAUGACGGUACCGUAAGAAUAAGCACCGGCUAACUACGUGCCAGCCGCCGCGGUAA